rnacentral:lncRNA from 1 species
UUCAGAGGAGUGAAAUAAGGAUGGAUAAGAUCAAAGAGCUAAAGGCUGAUGCUAAGCUCUUAGCUAAGACGAUUCAUAAGCUGGAGCGGGAAGAAACUCGUCAGAUGAAUAUACGCCAGAAGCUCGAAGAAGAAAUCCGAGAACUCAAGGCUCUUCGGGACCUUGGGCCUCCUUUAACUGAUGACCUUCGCAAACAAAUCUGUGAAGAGUAUCGGAACUCGGAUGAAAUCAACGGAGAGAUUAUGAAGAUAUAUACUGAAAGCUACGAGCUCUGCCGAAGUCGUGGCAAGGAGAAGUUGAUUACAGCCAACGUAGAUCCAUCCUUGCUCGACUCUUCAGAUGACGAGGGCGCUGCAUGAAGCUAAAGCUUUUGUUUUUC